rnacentral:rRNA from 1 species
ACCGGGAUUCCCUCAGUAACGGCGAGUGAAGCGGGAAAAGCUCAACAUGAAAACCUGGGAGCCUCGCUCUCCGGAUUGUAUUCUCUAGAGGCGUGUUCAGUGGCCGCUCGCGUAUAAAUCCUUUGGAAAAGGGUGUCAUAGAGGGUGAGAUCCCCGUAUGUGACGCGAUGUGGGCUGCGUUACGACGCGUUUUCGGCGAGUCGGGUUGCUUGAGAUCGCAGCCCUAAUUGGGUGGUAAACUCCAUCUAAAGCUAAAUACUGACAAGAGACCGAUAGCAAACAAGUACUGUGAAGGAAAGAUGCAAAGAACUUUGAAAAGAGAGUUAAAAGUACCUGAAACCGCUAAGGGGGAAGCAAAGGCCGCCAGUACGCGCUAGGGAGUCUCCAGCGUCGCCUUGUGCGGCGUGUAUCGACUUUUAAGCGGGUUCACGUGGACGUGGCGCGCGGGAUGGGCGGGGAGUGCUGAUUAAGCGUCUCUGGCUACCGUGCGGCGUGUUGAGGCCUUUCCCCGCAAGGGUGAGGACGUGGACGAAAUGGCGAUCUCUGACCCGUCUUGAAACAGGGAA